rnacentral:rRNA from 1 species
UAACGUAGUAAGACUAACAGGAUUCCCCUAGUAACUGCGAGUGAAGCGGGAAAAGCUCAAAUUUAAAAUCUGGCAGUCUUUGGCUGUCCGAGUUGUAAACUAGAGAAGUGUUACCCGCGUCGGACCGUGUACAAGUCUCCUGGAAUGGAGCAUCAUAGAGGGUGAGAAUCCCGUCUUUGACAUGGACUACCGAGGCUUUUGUGGUGCGCUCUCAACGAGUCGAGUUGUUUGGGAAUGCAGCUCAAAAUGGGUGGUAAAUUCCAUCUAAAGCUAAAUAUUGGCGAGAGACCGAUAGCGAACAAGUACCGUGAGGGAAAGAUGAAAAGAACUUUGGAAAGAGAGUUAAACAGUACGUGAAAUUGCUGAAAGGGAAACGCUUGAAGUCAGUCGCGUUGGCCGGAAAUCAACCCUGCUUCUGUUGGGUGUACUUUCUGGUUGACGGGCCAGCAUCAGUUUUGACCGGUGGAAAAAGUCCAAGGGAAUGUGGCAUCUCCGGAUGUGUUAUAGCCCUUGGUCGUAUACAUCGGUUGGGACUGAGGAAUUCAGCACGCCGCAAGGCCGGGUUUCGACCACGUUCGUGCUUAGGAUGCUGGCAUAAUGGCUUUAAUCGACCCGUCUUGAAACACGGACCAAGGAGUCUAACAUACCUGCGAGUGUUUGGGUGGAAAACCCGGACGCGUAAUGAAAGUGAAAGUCAGGAUCCCUGUCAUGGGGAGCACUGGCGCCCGCACCUGAAGUUUACGGACGGAUGUGAGGUAAAGCAUGUAUGCUAGGACCCGAAAGAUGGUGAACUAUGCCUGAAUAGGGUGAAGCCAGAGGAAACUCUGGUGG